rnacentral:rRNA from 1 species
CCUACGGGUGGCAGCAGUGGGGAAUAUUGCACAAUGGGGGAAACUCUGAUGCAGCGACGCCGCGUGAGUGAAGAAGGAUUUCGGUAUGUAAAGCUCUAUUAGCAGGGAAGAAAAUGACGGUACCUGACUAAGUAGCCCCGUCUAACUACGUUCCAGCAGCCGCGGUUAUACGUAGGGGGCAAACGUUAUCCGGAUUUACUGGUUGUAAAGGGAGUGUAGGUGGCAUGGUAAGCAAGAAGUGAAAACCCAGGGCUCAACUCUGUGGAUUGCUUUUGAAACUAUCAGGCUAGAGUGCUGGAGGGGUGAGCGGAAUUCCUAGUGUAGCGGUGAAAUGCGUAGAUAUUAGGAGGAACACCGGUGGCGAAGGCGGCUUACUGGACAGAAACUGACACUGAGGCUCGAAAGCGUGGGGAGCAAACAGGAUUAGAUACCCGGGUAGUC